ACUGUCGGUCGGCGGCUAAGGAGGGGAGGCACCUGCAUCUGGGGCGCGGCGAAUCCUCGCGUGCGCCAGGCCGCCUGGGGUAGUCGCCGAGACUGCGCCGGCCAGCGGGGCCGAAACCUAAUCAGGAGCUGAGCUUUGAUGGCGGCUUCUGGAGGGACAAAGAAGGCGCAGAGCGGUGGGAGGAGGCUGCGAGAACCUAGCUCCCGCCCCAGCCGACGUGCGAGACAAAGGCCCCGGCGCGGGGCUCUUCGGAAGGCCGGGAGGUUCCUGUGACAAUGCGAGUCUGCGCCCCACGCUCCCGCACCGUGAUGCCGAGGCCAAAUGGCUAGAGUGGGCCCAGGCAUCAGCAUUUCUGUUUGGCAGCCGGGCAGUUGUGGUGCACGUUUUGAGGAACUACUAAAGCCUGCCUGUGAUGAAAAAGGCAAAAGCUGACUUCACCAAAAUUACUCCCAGGGAGACUUCUGCAUUUGGCUGGAAGGACAUUUGAGUAAACCGCUGAGGCUGGUGGUUGAAACAUAAUCCUCUAAGGGAGAUCGGUUCCGAUACCCUGAGUUAGGGACGCUUGCCUGGGCAGAGCUAAGGGGAGAAUGAUCAAAAGCCAAGCUCUGUCCCCGUCAGCACGUCACCCUCCCUCACUGUAAUCCCUGACUGUUUUCUCUAAAUGAAGAAUUAUUUAGAGAAUAUAAAUUAGAAGGGCCGCCACGUCAGAAUUGCCUGAGUGGGAGCAGUCUUUCCAGCCUCGAAAAAUGUUUAAACAAUAUGCAGAUGACCUAGCACAAAUAAAGAAUGCUAGCAACCGCUGUUAUGUGUGAGCGGUGGAAUUGGGAGGGCUCUUCCCCCAAUCUUCAUCAAACAGAGUAAGGUUUAGAAUAAAAAUAAUGAAAUACAGUCUUUCAAAAAGAGCAGCGCUUGACUAAUGUUACUGAUGUCACUCAUGUUACUCAAGGGAGGAAAGAACUCAAACUCUACAUAAUAAUACCCACUGAUUUCAAGGGCUGGCACGGAGAAUUAAGCAGACCGCCAUUCUUUAUAUUUGUUUUUUUGUUGUUGUUUGCUUAUGAUUUUUUUCUUUCUUUUUUUUUUUUUUUUUUUGAGAAGGGGUCUCGCACUGUCACCCAGGCAGGAAUGCAGUGGCGCGAUAAUGGCUCACUGCAAUCUCACUAUAUUGACCAGUAUGAUUUUCAACUCCUGUCUUUAAGCGAUCCUCACGCUUCGGCCUCCCAAAGUGCUGGGGUUACAGACAUGUGCCACUAUGCCCUGCCUAAAUAUGUUUAUAUAUACUACCGCCAAAGAAACAAUUUGAAGACGAUCUUUCCCCAGCCCCUCUCCUUCUGAUCCAACUCCAAGAGCUCACCCUCCCUGUAAGACCUGUAGCAGAGCACGUAUUGGCCUGCUGAUACUAGGGGCAAAGACCGGGCCGAUCAGAUGUUACAUGGCAUAAGGGCGAAGGAUUCUGAAAGAAAGACUGAGACUUGCUGGAGGAAGUACUAGUAGUGCCAAGGGCAGGAACUCAACUGUUAGGCAGAAGGGAGGAAUGUACUGUUGAUAUGGACAGACUCCAAGAAGGGGAGGGACUGCUGGGACUACUAGAACGAGAAUGCCUCUGCCCCUAUGGCUCAGCUCUGCAACUCUCUCUGCACAUUGGCUUCAUGCUGUUAGACCAGCUUCCUCCAUAUGUCUGGAAACAAGGCCACUGACAGCUCCCAACAUUUCAUCUUCUGCCUCAUCAUCAGACAGGCGAGGGUUUCACCAUGUUGGCCAAGCUGGUCUCAAACUCCUGACCUCCAGUGAUCCGUCCGCCUCAGCCUCCCAAAGUGCUGGAUUACAGGCAUGAGCCACCAUGCCUGGCCUACCAGGCCAAAAUCUAAGGACAAGAGAGAAUACCAAAAAGUAAAUGGAACAUGAAGGCUGCUUUUGUUUUGCUGAACCAGGCAAACUUGAACUUCUAUUUGACAGUUUCUAGCAGCAAAAAGGACGACUGUCAAAGCCCAGAGCCUGCCCAAGGGAAGGCAUCUGUUAAGAGACCUUCCACCAGGAGCCUCGCCCAAGACCCACACAGCUGCUCUCUCAGGGGAAUGGUGAACCAAGUAAAUCUGACUUCUCCUGGAGACUUUUAGGAAACUUAUCUGAGCCUUAUUUUUUAAAAGUUCCAGAAAAGUUAUGGCCAUGAAUCAGCCCUGGCAUAGACUGUACCCCAAAUUCAUACCCUAGUGAUCCAAUAAUCUUAAGCAGUGAGUUUAGUUUGAUGUAAUCUUGGACUGCUGGGACCCCCUAAGCACCUGGCAAAAGCAAACACAAAUUCUCUGUGGAAGAAUAUACCUGUGUGCUACUCAUUGUCCCUAGAAAUUUAUUUGUGGAGAUUCUUUGACAGAUAGAUGUGUGUGUGUGUGUGUGUGUGUGUGUGUGUGACAACACACACGUAGCACAAGAACUAACACACAACAGGUAGCAGAAACCAUCCACAAAGACCUCAGGUAUGGAAGUUAGCAAACACAGAUUAUAAAGCUACUACACUAUGACUAUUUAAAAAAGAGUAAUGAAACAAUUUUAUUUUAAAAUCUCAAUUUUUAAACUGGAAUUACAUCUUUUGCCACCAUUUAAACAUAAAAUAUAAAAUUGUAUUCAUCAAGAAAUGAGGAUAUGCAAUGCAUAAUUUUUAGGUUACAUGCAAGCAAAAUCUUCAGAGAACCCUGCACUUUUCCAUGGGCAAGGGCACGGCUGUCCUUAGGCAUGUGAGAGUCUGCGGCCUGUGGCUUCCCAAUGGCAGAGGCCUCAUUUCAUGUACUGAUGUAUCCCUAAGGCCAACACAGGGCUUGACACAUAGUAGGGUGUCACUAAAUUUUGGCUGAAUGAGUAAUGUAUGAUUUUCCAGGAGAUACUUUAUGUCACUGAAAUAGCAACAUGUGUGUGAAUGCUUUUCUUAGGAAAAGACAAAUUCAUACCAUAGCUGAAAAAUCAAUCCAGUAACAAACAUACAUUAGGGUUAGUGUGUCUAUGCUCUUACAUCGGGAUUUCUUGGUUAUAAUGAAUUCAUUUUCAGUACUUCAUGCAGAUAUGCUCAACAGUGAUAUACACCGAGUUAAAUCAAAUAAUCAAAAUAGAGCACCAUGUAUUUCUUAUACAAUAUUCACAUAAAAAUUACUUACAAUUUAACCCAGAUUGUCACUAAAAUGAAGGCCUUGAAGACCAGUUGUUCUUUUCUCCAAACUUUUGUUAUAAACAUUUUGAAAUAUUCAGAAAAGUUAAAGGAUUCAUAUAAUGAACACCUGCAUGCCCAACCUAGAUUCAACAAUUGUUAAUAUUUAGCCAUAUUUAUUUUAAUGAUAUCAUUCCUUUC
rnacentral:lncRNA from 10 species